rnacentral:RNase_P_RNA from 1 species
CGUAAGUGGGAUCAGGUAAGGGUGAAAGGGUGCGGUAAGAGCGCACCGCGCGGCUGGUAACAGUCCGUGGCACGGUAAACUCCACCCGGAGCAAGGCCAAAUAGGGGUUCACAAGGUACGGCCCGUACUGAACCCGGGUAGGCUGCUUGAGCCAGUGAGCGAUUGCUGGCCUAGAUGAAUGACUGUCCACGACAGAACCCGGCUUAUCGGUCAGCUUCACUC